GGUGGGGUGUCCGAGUGGUCGAAGGAGACGGUCUUGAAAACCGUUGACCCUCACGGGUCCGUGGGUUCGAAUCCCACCCCCACCGCCA
rnacentral:tRNA from 1 species